GUUAAAUAUUUCAAACAGCUGACAUGUUAACCAAUUUUAAACAGACUGACCAUCAUGUUAUCUGUAGCUUGAGCCUUGGGUCAAUACAGGCAAAGUGUAUUAUUCCCAACAACGGGAAUAUUAUUAUUAUAAUUCACAACGUAAACACAUAUAGUCAAAAUGGGAAUAAUAUCUAUUCCCCAUCUUUGGACCAGGGUCUUGGAUUACCAGUCCACCCAGUGAACUUGGGCCAGGUCUAAAAACCCAGUGGCAAAAACUCAUAUUUGAGGAAAAAAGCACAUCUGGGGAAACUCUUGUGAGGGCCAUGACUGUGUAGACAUGUCAUCCCCUCACG